AUGCGGUUGAAGAGGGAUUUGAGGAAGGCCUUAUACCUAGGCCUUCAUAUCUUGAAAGAGAAAUCGCUCCCAAUCUCAAAACUCUUUUCCGUAAAAAAACUUCUACACAUUUUCAUCUCAACAAAACCCUUCUCUGAUCCAUUCCCAAUUUUCUCUCACUCACGUCCUUUUCAUCUUCUUCACAAAUCCCAGGUUAGAGCUUUGGGUUUAUCUUUUCUGAUAUUUUGA